rnacentral:sRNA from 1 species
UGAUUAAUCACUUCAGUUGACGAUGAGC